UGCCAUGUAGGAUUGUCGUUA
rnacentral:miRNA from 1 species